rnacentral:misc_RNA from 1 species
AAAGAUAACUGCCAGACCAACCAAGUUCAUGUCUUUGACACUGCCAUGCAGACUUGGAGCCAACCAGAGAUAAAAGGCACACCGCCCACUCCAAGGGACAGCCACAGUUGUACUACUGUUGGUGACAAUCUGUUUGUGUUUGGAGGCACUGAUGGGAUGAACCCUCUUAAGGAUCUGCAUAUAUUAGAUAUUUCAUCACAUACAUGGAUUUCUCCAACAGUGAGAGGAGAGGGACCAGAGGCACGAGAGGGUCAUAGUGCUGCUCUUGUUGGUAAACGUCUCUUUAUAUUUGGUGGCUGCGGAAAAUCUUCAAAUGAUAAUGUUGAAGUGUAUUACAAUGAUCUUUACAUAUUAAAUACAGAGACAUUCGUAUGGAAACAAGCAGCUACAUCUGGCACUCCCCCUUCUGCACGUGAUAGCCAUACCUGCUCAUCUUGGAAGAACAAAAUCAUUGUGAUUGGUGGUGAAGAUGGACAUGAUUAUUAUUUGUCUGAUGUACACAUCCUUGAUGCAGGUUUUGCUUAUUUUUAUUAUGCAUAUAUAUGUACAUACACAACACACUUGCAUGCAAGGGUUUGAUUUCAGGUGUAGUGUCUAAAUUAAUGUAUUUGUUUUAACCGGAAGAGAUGCUUACUAGCAUUUUAUAUGCUUCUAUGCACUGUUUGAUAUUCUUGUGUUUUUUAGAAACUCUUGUAUGGAAAGAGCUCAACACCACAGGCCAGAAGUUGCCACCUCGAGCUGGUCAUUCCACUGUUGCUUUUGGCAAGAAUUUAUUUGUUUUUGGGGGAUUUACAGAUGCUCAAAAUCUGUAUGAUGACCUGUACAUGCUUGAUGUUGACACUGGUGUAUGGACAAAGGUGAUGACUACAGGAAUUGGGCCUUCUGCAAGAUUUUCUGUGGCGGGGGACUGUUUAGAUCCACAGAUGGGUGGUGUAUUGGUGUUCAUAGGUGGUUGCAAUAAAAGUCUUGAGGCACUUGAUGAUAUGUUUUACUUGUAUACAGGAUUUACAAGCGUACAAGAUGAGCAACGGCUAGAAAAAUUAUCCUUAAGGAAGCAAUUGAAGCUAAAGUGCCAAGAACAAUGCCUUAAUUCUCCUGUAAAUGAUAAAGCUUUGGUUAGAAUUGACACAAGUAAUGACUUCCACCACACUCUGCCAACUUAUGCCAGACCAAGUAAGAUAUUACUUGCUGUAUUUUUUUAUUGAUUUAGUGUACAUUAGGCCUGUACUAGGAGGUUGGGUGAAGGGAAUGGGAUGGGUUAAGUGCUUUUACAUAAAUCAAGUGUAAAGUUAGUUAUUGACAGGGCUCUUUAUCUAAUUUUUCUCACAUGCUUGCAUGCCUUUAAAGAUGCAUAGGAAGUUGUAAGACUCAUUUUAUUCUCCCCUCCGUUGCUGUUGUUUUUAUGCAUUUUUUUUUUAGAAAAAAAGGGCGGUUGUUCUUUAAUUGCAAUAAGAAGUAAUGAUUGAAAUCAAAGCCGCCUCUGAAUUUCCAAAUCUCAAUAAUGGUCAACACUUAAUCACUUGUAGUAAUAGACCAGUGAUGGAAAGAAUUAUGUAACAAAAACUUGCAAACAGAUGUUCUUUUUUUUUUUCCUUCACUCAUCUAUGCUGAUGAUAGAUGUAGCGAAAUGCUUUUCGAGUGGGACGCUUAAUGAUCAAACUUCUUUAGUAUGCUAGCUGGAAACCUUUCCAAUUACUUAUACUGUAUAACUGACUUCAGUAAUCUUUUUUAUCUGCUGAAAACUAAGCCAUUGAUAUCUUACUCUGAUGUUACUAGCACUUGGUGGAUAUGGGGUUCACAAGUUUGGUUUUAUCAAUAGAAACUAAGAAUAGUGGUAAUAAUGGCGUGAAAUUUAUAUAUAUGGAAAGGAAUGUGAAUUGGGUUCCGAAAACAUUAGUGCUUUGUUUACAGGCAGAGAGAAUUUGCAAUUGAAUCAAGUGCAACUUAAUCAAGGGAAGAAGACAUUUCAAGCCAAAGUUACCGAAAGCUUCCCCCAUUGUUUUACCGUUGAAACCAUCAUAGAUGGGAAGCCUCUACGCGGAAUAUUGUUUGCCAACAAGUCAAUCACCCCCCAAAUGGCUAAUCAUAAUAAUAUUAGGAAAAGGACUGGUGGGCUAAUUGGCAGUGUUAUGUUGAAUGGCGAUCACAACAACAAAUCAAAAGCAUCUAGAACCCUCAAGCAGGAUGCUGAAGACCACAUGCGACCGGACAAUGCUUGUGGGAAGGAGCCUGCAUCACAUGAAAGCAAGACAGAAACAGUUGUUGCUUCUGAUUCAAAGAACCUAGCAUCUUGUGAUGUUUCUCAGAUCUGCAAGGUCCAUGUGAACCCAGAAUCAUCUGUAGCUUCUCUGAAUUUAAAUGAUGAUAUGAUAAAUGAUGCACCAAAUUCUGGUGCUAAAUUUCCAAACAUAGCCAUGGGAUCACUUUGUCACUAAAUCAAGGUAUGAGUCGAGGUUCUGGAAGCAUUUUAUUCUAGAGAACAUCAAGGGUGGCAAAAUCCAACCAAGCUCUAUUUAAAGGUCCCAAUCAAUGUUUGAUAAUGUUGGGCUAGGUUAGGUCAGAAGGUUAGAAACCAUUUAUAAAUGGGUUUGUUUGGAUUGUGUGGGGGAUGGGACCUAUCAUAUGAUCUAGCCAAUAAUCCUAACAUUAAAAGGAAGGAUAAAAAUGCAAAGGGAAACAUGAAGCUUCAUAGGAAGCUUUCUUUGAGUUAGUGAAGUAUAAUUGGGCUAUGUUUUGGUGGUGACAGCAUGGUGGUUAGAUGAAAAGAAAGUGGUGGUUUGUUAAGUGAAGGUGGUGGAUUUGUGGUGGAUUUGGUGAGGCUUAUGCAAGUCUUGAGAAAGAGCGGUAGUGAGGGCUUAGGGAAAAUCAAGAAAAGGGGAACAGUAGCUAGGAAGAAAAGUUCUGAGAAGAAAAGAAAAAGAAUUCAAAUGUAUUCUCUGGGUAAUUUCCACAAGCACACAGAUCAAAAGCUCAUAUGCCAAAUUGAUGUAGAACCAAUAGAACAAUCAAAGAGGAAAAAGGAAUAAACUUCAUUCUAUUAAUUCUCAAUUGUCAAUAUCAAUAAUAAUAAGCUCUACUAAAAUACCCAGAUGACAUAGAUGUAUAAUAACUAGUAUUACUAGUACUAGAAUUAGGAACCCAAAAAUAAGAAACACUAACCAAUACUAAUUAGAAAUACUCAAUCAACUCAAGCUUUCUAAAUAAAUAUAAUACUACUACUAAAUUAAAUUUCCUGAAUUUCUUCCUAAAAUAGAUAGACCUAAAAUCCAUAGUAAAAGGUCUUGCAUGUGCAUGAUAAUGCUAAUUUUAGAGGAUAAUUAUGUUAGGAUUUUAUUACGUUGUUAGUGAAUGGCAUUGAAAGACAUCUUUAAUUUGAUAUUAUUUGGUCUUACUAGUUUCACAUGUCUUCUAAAUUAAAGAAGAAUGAGUCUGUCAUUUCUGUUUUAGGUUCCAG